rnacentral:rRNA from 1 species
CCUACGAGUGGCAGCAGUGAGGAAUAUUGGUCAAUGGGCGCGAGCCUGAACCAGCCAAGUCGCGUGAAGGAUGACUGCCCUACGGGUUGUAAACUUCUUUUAUAAAGGAAUCAAGUGAGGCAAGUGUGCCUUUUUUUAUGUACUUUAUGAAUAAGGAUCGGCUACCUCCGUGCCAGCAGCCGCGGUAAUACGGAGGAUCCGAGCGUUAUCCUGAUUUAUUGGGUUUAAAGGGAGCGUAGAUGGGUUGUUAAGUCAGUUGUGAAAGUUUGCGGCUCAACCGUAAAAUUGCAAUUGAUACUGGCAGCCUUGAGUACAGUUGAGGUAGGCGGAAUUCGUGGUGUAGCGGUGAAAUGCUUAGAUAUCACGAAGAACUCCGAUUGCGAAGGCAGCUUACUAAACUGCCACUGACAUUGAUGCUCGAAAGUGUGGGUAUCAAACAGGAUUAGAUACCCCGGUAGUA